rnacentral:rRNA from 1 species
GACGAACGCUGGCGGCGUGCUUAACACAUGCAAGUCGAACGGAAAGGCCCUGCUUUUGUGGGGUGCUCGAGUGGCGAACGGGUGAGUAACACGUGAGUAACCUGCCCUUGACUUUGGGAUAACUUCAGGAAACUGGGGCUAAUACCGGAUAGGAGCUCCUGCUGCAUGGUGGGGGUUGGAAAGUUUCGGCGGUUGGGGAUGGACUCGCGGCUUAUCAGCUUGUUGGUGGGGUAGUGGCUUACCAAGGCUUUGACGGGUAGCCGGCCUGAGAGGGUGACCGGCCACAUUGGGACUGGGAUACGGCCCAGACGCCUACGGGAGGCAGCAGUGGGGAAUAUUGCACAAUGGGCGGAAGCCUGAUGCAGCAACGCCGCGUGCGGGAUGACGGCUUUCGGGUUGUAAACCGCUUUCGCUUGUGACGAAGCGUGAGUGACGGUAAUGGGUAAAGAAGCACCGGCUAACUACGU